ACCACUACAAUGGGCACAGUACUUCACAAGAGCUGAGUCCAUUUUCUCUUCCUACCAAGGGAGCUCCAUCAUGAUUUCACAAUAGUCACCAAUGAGACCAUCAUGAUGACUUCACCAAAGAGAAUCAACUUUCCCCAAACAGACAAACCCCAACCUAUCCACCAGACAGCCUGAAGGAACAUCUAAAGGCAGAGAUCAAAGUGAUGGUGGUAAAACCCACUCAGAACAUUCUGGAGUGGGAAGAAGGCUGAGAGUGAGGUGUUAUGUACUGGGACAAGAGAUAAAUUUGAGGAUUCACCUAAUGGAGCUUUCUGGGGUAAAUGGAAAAGAAGUAAUUUUUGCUGCAAUCCAGAUCAUGUGUUCUGUGAUGGUGUUGGCUCUGGGAAUCAUUUUGGCAUCUGUUCCCUCCAUCCCACAUUUUACCUCAGUGUUUUCUGUCCUGUUAAAAUCUGGAUACCCAUUUGUAGGAGCUUUGUUUGUACCCCUCAUCAUCUACACUUCUGUCUCCUCUCGCCAAUAACUACUGAGGUCUCACUAUGAAAAAUCCAUGUGAUCUACAUUUCAAGAUGACUGAUUAUUCUGCUUGAUAUUCUUAGCAGCAUUGACAAAUAUAUCCCACAAGAAAACCAGGCAAGUUUCAAGAGGUCUCUAGCAUACUCACUCCAGAGAAAUCAGAAAAACUCUGCUUCCACCACAGUAUGGUAGUGAGGACAGCCAGGCCAAGCUCCAACACACUGCUGAUCAGCAUCAAUGAAAAGACUCCCUAAAUUCAAAAGAAGAGAGGUUGGUGUGACCGAGUCAGCUGAAGCCCUCAUACCUGGGUGGGAGGUGACUGUAGAGAUGAAACCAUCUCCACCAUCAGAGACGCCAUCAAGAAAGGAAUGGCUCUUCCCAAACCUACAAAUGGACUAAAAUUAAUGCCUACUUCCUUCAUUCUUUGGAGGAAGUAGAUAAAGAGGACAAACUAAAUAAACGAAACCAUUUUUCUGCCA